CCCGUGCCGUUGCUCUUCCAGAUACUUUCACGCUCGCUCUGUCCAGGUGCAACUGUCAUGUCUGAUUCAGAUUUCAGAGUUAGAUAAUGGCCUGUUGAAAUGUGCCACUCUUCCAUACUCUCGUGGGCUAGUGGUUAUGCAGUACAAAUAAUAAGCAUGGAAUGAAGGACAUACAAAUAGUAAGCCUUAGCUAGCGAUCAACUUGGACGAUGAAAAGGUUUAUAAAAGCUAUUGGUGUAUCAGGUUCAUACCUGCGUCAAUGUUGAUUUAAAUGAAGUUUGCUGAGAUGACCAGGAAAAAAAAAUGAAGUUUGCUGAGACUCCAUUACUGAUAGUAAAAGAUAUAGUUUUGGCAGGUCACUAAUGCAAAGUCAAGUACGACUCAGACUUGGUAGGAUUUUGUUAUUAGGUAUCUCAUUGUCGCAAAUCUCCAGUGCUCAUGCAAACAAUAUCUUCAAAUAAAGCUCCAAGUUAUUGUGGAAAAUUUGCGAGAAGGAUUGAAGGGA